rnacentral:lncRNA from 1 species
CCCAUUCUAAUGAAUUCUCCCCGACAGCAGGAACUUUGUCUUAUUCCUCUUACAGCUCCCGUGCCCAGAAUAAUGUGGGGAGGCUCUGGAACAUUUGUUGAAUGAAUGCAGCUGGUCUGAUCCCAUUGGACUAGACUGCUGCCAAUCACAAAACUUAGAGCUGGGAGGGAUUCGAAAAUGGCAACUCAUCCAUCCUCCCUGCAAAGAAGUCAAGACCAUGCAGGUGAACCGGUGCCCUGAAGUCAAAGUCAUGAGAAACAUCGCAGUCCAGGACGGGCAGCUCAGAGAGCCAGCCACUGGCAAAGGGCCCGCUCAGCACAUCCUGUGGGGGAGGGUUCAGAUGCCAGACCCUUACCAAGCAGCCAGGGGUCAGGCCACCUCGGAGAGACAUUCUUUAGUGAGAAAAGGAAGAGGCUUUACCCCAUUUUUCAUAGCGGCAGAUGCAGCAGGUUCACAGGAAACAAAUGCACAGCAGCCCCUUUCCAUGAAUUGGAGGAGGAGGAGAGAUGGAGAGAUGGCGAGAUGGCGGCCAGUGAGGAAGGGGCCAAUGGGCAAGGAAGGAAAUGCACCAAGAAAAAAGAGGAAGGAAGUGUUUGUUUCUAUUA